rnacentral:lncRNA from 1 species
AGGAAACUGGAGCACAUGGCUUAAGUAACUUGCACAAAUACACAACUAAUUCAUGGAAGAGGAUGGAUCUGAAUCCAGUUCUGACUUAGCUCUGCUUAGCUCUUUGCAAGAUGUGCAAGCCCACCCAGUAUGUUACAGCCAGAGCGAUGACACUUGGUAAGUACAAGUAGCAAUGAGACAGAGUCCUUUUCUCUAGUAAAUCAACAUUUUUACCCAGGGUAUGUCUCUAGCAUAUAUGUGCUUGUCUCUAGGGUUUAAAUGGAAGAUGGAUAACAUUUAAGUGCUUAUGUCUAAAACAGACUUCCUUCAUAGAAGUCACAGAAUGGUUUAUAAAUACAGCAUCAUAGUUUAGCUAUAUGAAGAAACAGCUAGCUUUCAGAAUUGAAAUGCACAUCAUUCAGAAAUAUUGGCCAAUUGAUAACCCUGCAUUUCCUCUUCCUGGUGCAAAUGGUGGAGGGAUGGGAAGUACCUGUGAAGCAAUCAGCAGCUACUGAGAAACUUCUCUGAGAGAUGGGAGAGAGAGAGUUACAGGAAUAAAAAGUAGACCAAAUUUAUCUUCUGAGUUUGACAAUAUGGUUAAGCUGAGAAAAACUUUGCUCGUGGCCAUGUUCUAUGUAAGAGCUAAAUUACUAGGACGUGUAAGAAAUGCCACAGGCAUUCACGAGGGAGAGAUUUUGGGUGUGAAUGCUGGACUCAAGGUGCUUUGGGGAAGGAGAGAGUGAGGUUUGUACAAGGGGCAGGGUGUUGACCAGCACCCAAGGCGCAGAGGGGAGGAUGUGCAGGUGUCCAGAAAGGAGUUCCUGGGGUGACUGUGGAUGGGGCACAUGUCCCUGACCAGUUGAACUCCUGCUAUUAGGAAAGAGAAUUGUGCCAUCACUAUACUUCCAAAGACUUUCCUCCAAGGAAAACCCGUGAAUUCACAGCAGCUGGUUGUGAAGGCAGAGUGUGGCCUGGGGAGUGAGUUUAUUUCCUGGGAGUAGGUUUAUUUCUAAGGGGUCUGGGGAGGGAGGGGGGGUGAUGAGACAGUCCCCACUUGGAGAGAGUAAAGGGAAAUGCAAGACUGUCCGAAUAAUUCUUUGCAUUUGUAAUAUAGAACAGUUGAGAGCAAAGAUGAGAGUUGCCCAGUUGCAUGCAGAGAGGCAGAACUUCCACCUCCCUGGCUGAAACUCCCUACCAAAGGGCUCCAGACCUGGUUUCCCAUUAGAAUCACCCGUGGAGCUUUAAAACCCAAAACAUCCCAGGGCUGAUCUUAAAUCUACAGGGGUGAAGGACAGCUAUUUGUGCCUUUCCUUGCAGAGCCACCUGGGAAUGUCUCAUAUUUAAGUAUUUAUCAGUGAACAGGCUCUGAGUCUCAACCACACACUGGAAUGAGUACACAGAAACCAAGGCCCCGUCACUGGGCUGCUCACUGUCCCAUUCCCUUCCAGAGUUUCCAGCCUACGUGUAGAUUGAGAUGGGCCUUUCUAGGGAAUCUGAGUAGUGCAUGCCCGGUUGGUCAGUGCUCUGUGCCCACAAACAGCCUUUAACUGGAGCCUCUGUGGUUUCUGAAGCUCCAGAGUACGAGGGGAAAGACACCGGUGUGUGGGUUCCUUGUCUCUGAAUCUAGAGGCCCCCUUGGCCACGGUUCAGGAUCUGGGAACUACUGCAACCUUAGGAGCCCAAAGUGAAACAGAUGGCAGAUGUGAACAGGAAGCUCAUGGAGGAGGCUGCUGAUUUGCACUUCUGGAUGUCCCCACCCUCAGUUCCCAGUGACUGCCAGAUGCAACAGAAAGGAUUGUCCCAAGGCAGGUGUGCAAACGUGCUUAUCUGCCUGCCUUGGGAGCCUCUGCUCUGACCUCAGGAGAGUCCCCCUGUGUGGAGGCCUCUGGUCCAGGCCCUGCACUUCCACUCAGAGGACCCAGCUCUAAAGAUGAAUUGGGGAUGGUAGGGAUCUCUAAUCCUUCAAGUUCACCCAUUUCCUUCAUCUCCUGUCUUCUUUUUCUCAGAAUCCACUCUGAGAAGGUAUUGAGGAAUAUUAUCUCUACCAGAUCAAAUUUUCUCAAUGAAAAGACUUGAUAACAAUUUACAAAAAGUAACAUUGGCUUGACCAUCAUUAGCUAUGGUGAAAAAUAUUGAGGAAUCAAGAUGAAAGAAGACCUGGGAGGUAGGAGGGGAGGUGGUCUAGUGUGGUUCAAAGUCUUCUCUUGAGACUCUGUCUAAAGACCUUGUCACCAAUGGGAGACCUUGUCAGACUUCUGUGCCCUGUGCCUCUCCUUCUCAUGAUCUAUCUCCAUCAGGUUAGAAAGGGUUCACCGGUACCUCACUGUCACAGGGGUGACCUCGCCCAGUCCCUGCAUGCAGACAGAUGUUUCUCUAAAGGCAAAUGGUUGUUCCUUGUUUUCUGAAGUUCUCUGGGCGGGUGCUGCAACCUUCCAGAAAAUGUCAUUCUUAUGUGUCUUGUCAUCCUGUCAGUUAAAACAUGCUUUUGGGGGUGUGGGUGUAGCUUAGUGAUAGAGCCAGUGAGGCCCUGGAUUCCUCUUUCAGUGAGGUAACAAAUAAAAACAAAACAAAAAUACACUUAUUUAUAUCCAAGCAGAUUCUCUUGCUUUAAUAUACUACCUAUUCAAUGAACACAUCACUAUUUAGCCAAAGCCUAUUACAUGGUAAUACCUUGUAGAAAAUCUUCAGGGAAGCAUAAGAAUGAAAAGUUCAGCUGUGAUCUUCAGGGAACCUGCAGUUUACUGAACAGAAUGGAUUUUGCAUUUGCCCAGCACUUCACACCUACAAUAGAUGCUCACAACAUCUGUGUCAGUUGGUGCUCAAAACAGCCCUGUGAGAUAUGCUGGAAGGUGUUUGGGGUGACUUUCCCAAGAGAAUCCUGGAUCCUUAUAUACACAUCCUGUAUUGUCAGGAUUUAAAGGAAAAUAAGAAAGGAAAAAAACACAUUAUUUUCAGUCUGUUGGUUUAAAAAACUAAUCACUGAAGAAAAUAUGAAAUAGAAGGUGAAUAUCUCCUAUAUAGGCUCUACCCUGUGGAGGUAAGAUGUUACCAAAGGUAAAAUAAUAUUUGUAGCUUGGGGGAUAAUUAUACACACACACAUAUAAUUCAUAUAUAUAUAUUCAUGUAAUAGAUAGAUGUUCUUUUAAAAAGUCAACAUUGAGGGCAAACUAUUUAGCAUAAGCACAUUCCGUCCAUGCCAAAGUCUAUUUGACUAUCUUUCCAGGUCAGUAUGUAUGUCUCUCCCUCUUUUUUUUGAAUCAGGAUGAUAUACACGACAGCAGAAUGCAUUACAAUUCUUAUUACACAUAUAGAGCACAAUUUUCAUAUCUUUGUAUAUAGAGUAUGUUCAUGCCAGUUCAUGCCUUUAUGCAUGUACUUUGUGGGUUUUUUUGCAUUACAAUUCUUAUUACACAUAUAUACCACAAUUUUUCACAUCUCUGCUUAUAUAUAAAGUAUGUUGAUACCCAAUUCGAGUCUUCAUACAUGUACUUUGGAUAAUGAUGUCCAUCACAUUCCACCAUCCUUGCUAAUCCCCUGCCCCUCCCUUUCCUUCUCAUCCCUCUUCCCUAUCUAGAAUUCAUCUUAAGAAUUCCAUUCUACUCCAUAAGAGGGUCAGCUUUUCUUAAAGCCUUAUUUCCUCCCUUCCAAGCUCUGCCCCAGAGAUCUGAGGGUGAUUCUCAAGGCCACAGGACUUUAUAAGAUACAUGCAUGACUACACACGUGUCCACAUAUUCAAAUUUACGUAUACACAUACCUGAAUACAUGCACAGUAAUGGCCCUGCAGGGGUGGCCCUGGUGGCUGGGGUCACCACCGUUCUCUGCUACUUCAAGAACUUACCAUCUCUUACUCAAGAACCAAUAUGUCUCAUGGAGUCAAUCUCCCUCACUUCCCUUCUUUCUUUCCUAUUGGUAUGUUCCAGCUUCUCCUCCCCAAGACAAAUUUUUCCAUUUGUUUUCGUCAUAGCAGCCUUUCCAAAAUAAGGGCCCAAGAGAGGAAGGUCUGCUUCUAAGACAUCCUGGGCAAGGGAGCCAAGAACUCAAGUGAAGUGGGAGAUUGGGCCCCAAAACGGGUUCAAAACCAUAAAAUGUUAAGGUGCUCCUCCACGAUCCUCCACAGUGAAUGAUUUUCACUCCCGCCUUUCCUGCCAUUGAAUCCCCAAGCUUCCAGUGAUUUCUAGGGACCUCAUGUGUGAAUUUAUAUUGACACUGACAGUUGAUGAGAAGGGCUAAGUACUUAACUUGAAAAUAAGCUUUAAUUUUCCAAAUGCAUAACAUUAAAUUUUUGCUACCUAUAUAGUUAAGAGCAUAAAGAUUUUUAUAAGAAUGCCAAAUGUUCGAGAAAGUAUAAUUAAACAUGCAUAGCUGAGUGCUUGUUUAUUUAGGAGUUUAGGGUUUAAAACAGCUGGAGUGAGUAUAAUUUUUUUUCUUUUUUUUUUUUUUUUUUGAGACAGAGCCUCCCUAAAUUGCUGAGACUGGCUUUGAACUUGCGAUCCUCCUGCCUCAGCCUCCCGAGCUGCUAGGAUGACAGAUGUGCACCACUUGUACCUUGGCUGAGAUUAAGAAUUCUAAAGAACCUUGCAAGAGAGAUCUGAUAGAGGAUGACUGGGGGGAAAAUACCAAUGGAGAAAGAAGCCUUGAAAGGCUUGCAGGAUUUAUCAGCAGCAGAUGCAGGUGACAGAUAUCACCCAGGAGUACAUAAAGUCAGCCAAUGCCAGUGAUACAGCCAAGAGCUCUGCAAAUGCUUUUCACAAUGAACAUGACUCUGCAAGACGUUAGGGGCUGGAGCUGGAUGUAUGUGCCUGACAUCCCUUCAUGCUGUCAUUUGUGACAUAUGCUUGGCCCACUGCACAAUGAGGAGAACUGAUUGCAGAGAGGGCACACAAAAUACAACUGCAGCACACAAGAUUUUCUAGAGCAGUGACACUAUUCUGAAUCCAUGGUGUUAUGCAUUAGUCAAACACCAAGAAAUGUACUAAAUGAGAGUAGAGUCCUAAUUUGAACUGUAGAGGUGCUCUAAUAACAAUAUGUCAAUAGUGUUCUUCAGUUAUAACAAAUGCUCCACGCUAGUGUACGAUGUUAAUAACAGGAGAAAUUGUGUGUGAGGUGGGGAGAGGGAAGAAUCUCUAAGGUUCCUCCAGGGGCUUUUGUCUGGAUGUGGAGUGCUCGCUGGUCUUGCAGCCCCUCCAAUUGUUUGCUUUCUCACCUGUUUUGCUUGAUCAUCAAAUGUGGCUGGUGACUGGAAGAGUUUAAAUUUCCUAAGAGACUUGUUUCUCUCCCAUGUCUUGCUUAAAAUGUCUGUCCCAGGUGAGGGAUAAAUGGAAGGAAGGCAGGUUUCUUUAAUCUAAUAUUUAAUAUAAUUAUUAUAUUACAUACUUUUUAAAGUCACUAUAAUAUCAAUCUCAACCCAACAAAUUUCCUCAAGUGUAAAUCUAAAAACACAGAUAGACUCCCACCGGACAUUUCAGAAUGAAAUGCGAGUGAGUUCUGUAACUUUGCAGAAUCCAUGAUAUUGCUAAAGCUUCUGGUUCCAUAACCAGAAGCUUGUUUUGCCUGGACAAGAAGAGGAUUCUCAGAUGCCUUCUACUGGGGACACUAGCAAGAUCACAGAAGAGCUUGAGAGUGAAGGGUGAAGGAUCACUUGCAACUGAUCAGUAAUGGCAGCCUCAAUUCCUUUCCUCCCCUCUCAGCUCCUCCCCUUCUCCCCUCUCCUGCUCACAGCCUCCUCCUUACUGAAAUCCCUCUCCAGCCUCUGCAGCUUAUGGGAGAUGAAACAAUGUGUAUCCCCAGGCAGGGGAGACCCAGCCUCAUGAAAGUCUUCAUAAAAGAUUCUCUUUGGGUGAUAAGAACAGGGUUAUGUUUGUUCCACUCAGUGAAAAGCCAAGAUGUAGGUGAGACUUAGUGGAGUCUCAAUCUAAGGAGGCUGGUACAAUUUUAUUAUCUCCAUUUUGCAUCACGUCUCACAUUUACAAAGAACUUUCUAGCUGCAUGCUCUUUGUAAAACAUCCUCAGAUGCAGUCUCUUGGUUUUUCUCCAGAACCCACGACAUAUUAAGGAUCCUCAUCUUUCCUAUGAAGAUACUGAGGAGCAAUUUGUGACUUGACCAAGAUCACACACCUAGUGUGAUCCUUGUCUUCUUUCUCUGUAUUCAAGCUCUAUCAAGGACACCUGGUUUGUGAAUGUCCCUGUUUCAAGAUUGUAUCUUCAGUGCUGAAGCCACCAGGCUGGGCACCUGGUGUGCAGAGGGCCAUGAUAGGGGGGAGGCAGGGGACUCGCAGCCCUGGGAACAGCGCUCCUCAGGUAAGCUCUGAAUGUGUCUUCCUUAGGUAGAGGAAGAAGGAGCAGUGGUUGGAGCCCUGAGUUACUGUACCUGCAGUCUCUGCGGACUGCUCCUACCCCUCUUCUCCCAUUGUGUUCUUUUGUCUGAGAGAUCAGUCAUGCUUCCAAAGCUGAGAUUCUGCCCAAGGAAGGAACAAUAGAAACUGGACUAAGAGGAACCUUGUGUGCACGCACGUGUGUGUGCGUGUGUGUGUGUGUGUGUGUGUCCCCACACAGGCUGCCCAAUCUGAUUGGCGCUCCAAGGCUGCCCAACAGGACCCAGCCCACCCUCUCAGGAUGCCUGGGGCUUGUCACGCAGCCCACAUCGGGGAACAGACAUCCUGGUUCCCACUCACCUCCCUGGAGCCCAUGACCUGGGCUAGCCUAUGGUGUUUGGGAUGCUGCACAUCCAGACUCAUGUUAUCUCAGGAUCCUGGGACUCCUUGGCUCCCCUGUCCUGCCUCCUCCCCUCUCUGUGGACACGUAGCCACCACACACUUCUCAGAGGGCUAUUUCUAGCUGAGGGGCCGGUAAUUCAGCCCCAGCCUGUCAGCUCAGGCUGUCUGUGUGCCGCAGCUGGGAUGGGCAGCCUGACACGUUGUGGGUUCAGCAGAGUGCAGGAUGUUGGGGCUUCCGGGGGCAGGCACCCCCCCCCCCCGCCGCCGCCUGCUGGAGGUCAGGGUUGCUGAGAUGUGGGGGUGAGGAACAGACAGGAUGCUCCUGCUGCGUGGGAAGAGCUGGUGGCCACCAGGAGACAGAGCUUAGCCUCAGUGCUCUGUGCUCUGCCCACCGCAGCCCUUCCCUGGGGAGCACCUUUUUUCUCUUUAGCAGGCUGAGAGUUAACAUAGCCUUGUGGGCUCUGGGUCAAGCUGUGCUUUACAGCACACAGGCCAUCUUUGUCAAGUUACAUCACCUCUCUGAGCCUCAGUUUCCUUAUCUGAAAAAUGGAGAUAAUAAAAUUGUACCAGCCUCCUUAGAUUGUGGGGAGAGUUUAAUAAUCUGCCAUAGAAUACUUAAUCUCAUGUGAAGAGGUCACAUAGAGCUGCUUGGUAUAGAGUAGAUUUUAUUACUGUUGUUGCUGUUGUCUCUUUUCUUCACCCUCCUAUCAUGAAUUCCUUGCAGGUGACUUUCAAGGUUAUUGCUAUUUCCAGAGUUAUCUCUGAUGCUGGAUCCAUUUUAGAUGCCUAGAAAGUAUUCAGUAAAUGAAAGAAUGAAUUCUUCCCUUAGUCUGAUCUGAUGGAAAGAACACUGAACUCAGCAAUAAAACAAAAAUAUCAUAGAUUAAAGUGAAAUUAUGUAAUUUGCAUAUGGAAAAUGGAUGGAACUUGAGACCAUUAUAUUAAAUGAAAUAAACCAAACUCAGAAGGUCAAGGGUCAUA